GACGAACGCUGGCGGCGUGCCUAACACAUGCAAGUAGGACGCAGUUGCGAACGGGUGAGUAACGCGUAGGCCACUACCUAUUAGAGGGGGAUAACUAUUGGAAACGAUAGCUAAUACCGCAUACUAGUAGAUGGACCUGCGUUGUAUUAGCUAGUAGGUAGGGUAAUGGCCUACCCAGGCAAAGCUACAUAGCCGAGAUGGAGGGGUGGACGGCCACACUGGGACGUGGACACGGCCCAGACGCCGACGGGAGGCAGCAGGAGGGAAUCUUCGGCAAUGGGGGGAAACCGUACCGAACAACGCCGGGUGAGUGGAGAAGGUUUUCGGAUCUUAAAGCUCUGUUGUGAAGGAAGCGGUACUUAACCAGAAAGGAACGGCUAACUACGUGCCAGCAGCCGCGGUAAUAC
rnacentral:rRNA from 1 species